UACGUAGGGUGCGAGCGUUAAUCGGAAUUACUGGGCGUAAAGCGUGCGCAGGCGGUUCUCCAAGUCCGUUGUGAAAGCCCCGGGCUCAACCUGGGAAUGGCAGUGGAAACUAGGGGACUGGAAUCUGGCAGAGGGGGGUGGAAUGCCGCGUGUAGCAGUGAAAUGCGUAGAGAUGCGGCGGAACACCGGUGGCGAAGGCGGCAUCCUGGACCAACACUGACACUGAGGAGCGAAAGCCAGGGGAGCAAACGGG
rnacentral:rRNA from 1 species